AUUGAACGCUGGCGGCAGGCUUAACACAUGCAAGUCGAACGAUGAAGAUAUAGCUUGCUAUAUCGGAUUAGUGGCGGACGGGUGAGUAACACUUAGGAAUCUACCUUUUAGCGGGGGAUAGCUCGGGGAAACUCGAAUUAAUACCGCAUAAUUUCUACGGAAUAAAGAGGGCUUUUAGCUCUCACUAGAAGAUGAGCCUAAGUAAGAUUAGCUAGUUGGUGGGGUAAAAGCCUACCAAGGCGACGAUCUUUAGCUGGUCUGAGAGGAUGAUCAGCCACACUGGGACUGAGACACGGCCCAGACUCCUACGGGAGGCAGCAGUGGGGAAUAUUGGACAAUGGGGGCAACCCUGAUCCAGCCAUGCCGCGUGUGUGAAGAAGGCCUUUUGGUUGUAAAGCACUUUAAGCAGUGAAGAAGACCUAUUGGUUAAUACCCAAUAGCGAUGACAUUAACUGCAGAAUAAGCACCGGCUAACUCUGUGCCAGCAGCCGCGGUAAUACAGAGGGUGCAAGCGUUAAUCGGAAUUACUGGGCGUAAAGCGAGCGUAGGUGGUUAAAUAAGUCAGAUGUGAAAGCCCUGGGCUCAACCUAGGAACGGCAUCUGAAACUAUUUAACUAGAGUAGGUGAGAGGGAAGUAGAAUUUCAGGUGUAGCGGUGAAAUGCGUAGAGAUCUGAAGGAAUACCGAUGGCGAAGGCAGCUUCCUGGCAUCAUACUGACACUGAGGCUCGAAAUGCGUGGGUAGCAAACAGG
rnacentral:rRNA from 1 species